rnacentral:rRNA from 1 species
AUUGAACGCUGGCGGCAGGCCUAACACAUGCAAGUCGCACGAGUGGCGGACGGGUGAGUAAUGUCUGGGAAACUGCCCGAUGGAGGGGGAUAACUACUGGAAACGGUAGCUAAUACCGCAUACCAUCGGCUGUGCCCAGAUGGGAUUCGCUAGUCGGUGGGGUAACGGCUCACCUAGGCGACGAUCCCUAGCUGGUCUGAGAGGAUGACCAGCCACACAGGAACUGAGGCACGGUCCAGACGCCGACGGGAGGCAGCAGUGAGGAAUAUUGCACAAAGGGGGAAGCCCGGAUGCAGCAACGCCGCGUGCGGGAUGACGGCCUUCGGAUUGUAAACCGCUUUCAGCAAUGACGCGGUAGUAGCAGAAGAAGCACCGGCUAACUACGUGCCAGCAGCCGCGGUAAUAC